UAUUUUUACAGUUUCUAUUGCCUCUGGCCAUUCAUGCCAUUGCUGCUGAAUUUGCUGUUCCAGUACUAAGAAGAGGAACUGAACUGAUAAUUUGUACAAUUGAUUGAUUAUGAAACUGAUGAGCCCUCAUCCAGUGGCUGAUGGAAGCAGAGGCAGACAUCCACAGAUACACACUGCACUGAACUCUGGAAC
rnacentral:lncRNA from 1 species